rnacentral:lncRNA from 1 species
CCAACUGCAUCGAUGUUGUCAUAAUAAGAAGGGGCGCUCUUCUCAAAGCUAGUAGCAUGAGAAGGUUUUGAGGUGUCAAAAGAUGCUGAACCAUAAGGUUUUGAAGCACCAAAAGAUGCUGCGGAACCAUAAGGUUUUGAAGACGCUGAACCAUAUGUAGGAGUUGGGAGGGCAACUCUCUGAGGAGCAUUGGCAUUUCGACGACUAUUUAAUAAAAAUAAACAGAGCAACCAAAAUUGUCAGAAACUUCACUGAAGGUUUAUUUCAGAAAAGAAAAUCAUAGAUUGUAUAGAACAAAAG